CAGCAGCCACGGUAAUACGAAGGGUGCAAACGUUAAUCGGAAUUACUGGGCGUAAAGCGUGCGUAGGCGGUGAGUUAAGUCUGCUGUGAAAUCCCCGGGCUCAACCUGGGAAUGGCGGUGGAUACUGGCUCGCUAGAGUGUGUCAGAGGAUGGUGGAAUUCCCGGUGUAGCGGUGAAAUGCGUAGAGAUCGGGAGGAACAUCAGUGGCGAAGGCGGCCAUCUGGGACAACACUGACGCUGAGGCACGAAAGCGUGGGGAGCAAACAGGAUUAGAUACCCCAGUAGUCCCUGUCUCUUAUAC
rnacentral:rRNA from 1 species